rnacentral:rRNA from 1 species
UACGAAGGGGGCGAGCGUUGUUCGGAAUUACUGGGCGUAAAGGGCGCGUAGGCGGCGCACCAAGUCAGGCGUGAAAGCCCUGGGCUUAACCCAGGAACUGCGUUUGAGACUGGUGUGCUGGAGUGCAGGAGAGGUCGGCGGAAUUCCCAGUGUAGAGGUGAAAUUCGUAGAGAUUGGGAAGAACACCGGUGGCGUAGGCGGCCGACUGGACUGUAACUGACGCUGAGGCGCGAAAGCGUGGGGAGCAAACAGG